rnacentral:rRNA from 1 species
AGCGAACGCUGGCGGCAGGCCUAACACAUGCAAGUCGAACGAACCCUUCGGGGUUAGUGGCGGACGGGUGGGUAACACGUGGGAACGUGCCUUUAGGUUCGGAAUAACUCAGGGAAACUUGUGCUAAUACCGAAUGUGCCCUUCGGGGGAAAGAUUUAUCGCCUUUAGAGCGGCCCGCGUCUGAUUAGCUAGUUGGUGAGGUAAUGGCUCACCAAGGCUACGAUCAGUAGCUGGUCUGAGAGGAUGACCAGCCACAUUGGGACUGAGACACGGCCCAAACUCCUACGAGAGGCAGCAGUGGGGAAUCUUGCGCAAUGGGCGAAAGCCUGACGCAGCCAUGCCGCGUGGAUGAUGAAGGUCUUAGGAUUGUAAAAUCCUUUCACCGGUGAAGAUAAUGACUGUAGCCGGAGAAGAAGCCCCGGCUAACUUCGUGCCAGCCGCCGCGGUAAAAC